CCCGGAAUAGCUCAGUUGUAAAAGCGUUAGACUGAAGUUGUUUACGCAACAAUAAUCUAAAGGCCCCCGGUUCAACCCCAGGUUCCGGCA
rnacentral:tRNA from 1 species